GAUGAACGCUAGCGGCAGGCUUAAUACAUGCAAGUCGAGGGGCAGCAUGAAUGUAGCAAUACAUUUGAUGGCGACCGGCAAACGGGUGCGGAACACGUACACAACCUUCCUAUAAGUGGGGAAUAGCCCAGAGAAAUUUGGAUUAAUACCCCGUAACAUAAUGAUGUGGCAUCACAUUAUUAUUAUAGCUUCGGCGCUUAUUGAUGGGUGUGCGGCUGAUUAGAUAGUUGGCGGGGUAACGGCCCACCAAGUCUACGAUCAGUAGCUGAUGUGAGAGCAUGAUCAGCCAGGCGGGCACUGAGACACGGGCCCGACUCCUACGGGAGGCAGCAGUAAGGAAUAUUGGUCAAUGGACGCAGGUCUGAACCAGCCAUGCCGCGUGAAGGAUUAAGGUCCUCUGGAUUGUAAACUUCUUUUAUCUGGGACGAAAAAAGGCUAUUCUUAGUCACUUGACGGUACCAGAUGAAUAAGCACCGGCUAACUCCGUGCCAGCCGCCGCAGUAACAC
rnacentral:rRNA from 1 species